rnacentral:rRNA from 1 species
CCUGGCUCAGGAUGAACGCUAGCUACAGGCUUAACACAUGCAAGUCGAGGGGCAGCAUGGUCUUAGCUUGCUAAGGCCGAUGGCGACCGGCGCACGGGUGAGUAACACGUAUCCAACCUGCCGUCUACUCUUGGACAGCCUUCUGAAAGGAAGAUUAAUACAAGAUGGCAUCAUGAGUCCGCAUGUUCACAUGAUUAAAGGUAUUCCGGUAGACGAUGGGGAUGCGUUCCAUUAGAUAGUAGGCGGGGUAACGGCCCACCUAGUCUUCGAUGGAUAGGGGUUCUGAGAGGAAGGUCCCCCACAUUGGAACUGAGACACGGUCCAAACUCCUACGGGAGGCAGCAGUGAGGAAUAUUGGUCAAUGGGCGAGAGCCUGAACCAGCCAAGUAGCGUGAAGGAUGACUGCCCUAUGGGUUGUAAACUUCUUUUAUAAAGGAAUAAAGUCGGGUACGGAUACCCGUUUGCAUGUACUUUAUGAAUAAGGAUCGGCUAACUCCGUGCCAGCAGCCGCGGUAAUACGGAGGAUCCGAGCGUUAUCCGGAUUUAUUGGGUUUAAAGGGAGCGUAGAUGGAUGUUUAAGUCAGUUGUGAAAGUUUGCGGCUCAACCGUAAAAUUGCAGUUGAUACUGGAUAUCUUGAGUGCAGUUGAGCAGGCGGAAUUCGUGGUGUAGCGGUGAAAUGCUUAGAUAUCACGAAGAACUCCGAUUGCGAAGGCAGCCUGCUAAGCUGCAACUGACAUUGAGGCUCGAAAGUGUGGGUAUCAAACAGGAUUAGAUACCCUGGUAGUCCACACGGUAAACGAUGAAUACUCGCUGUUUGCGAUAUACUGCAAGCGGCCAAGCGAAAGCGUUAAGUAUUCCACCUGGGGAGUACGCCGGCAACGGUGAAACUCAAAGGAAUUGACGGGGGCCCGCACAAGCGGAGGAACAUGUGGUUUAAUUCGAUGAUACGCGAGGAACCUUACCCGGGCUUAAAUUGCAGAUGAAUUACGGUGAAAGCCGUAAGCCGCAAGGCAUCUGUGAAGGUGCUGCAUGGUUGUCGUCAGCUCGUGCCGUGAGGUGUCGGCUUAAGUGCCAUAACGAGCGCAACCCUUGUUGUCAGUUACUAACAGGUUCCGCUGAGGACUCUGACAAGACUGCCAUCGUAAGAUGUGAGGAAGGUGGGGAUGACGUCAAAUCAGCACGGCCCUUACGUCCGGGGCUACACACGUGUUACAAUGGGGGGUACAGAGGGCCGCUACCACGCGAGUGGAUGCCAAUCCCCAAAACCUCUCUCAGUUCGGACUGGAGUCUGCAACCCGACUCCACGAAGCUGGAUUCGCUAGUAAUCGCGCAUCAGCCACGGCGCGGUGAAUACGUUCCCGGGCCUUGUACACACCGCC